rnacentral:rRNA from 1 species
GAUAAACGCUGGCGGCGUGCCUAAUACAUGCAAGUCGAACGAAGAAAUGUAGCAAUACACUUCUUAGUGGCGAAUGGGUGAGUAACGCGUUGGUGACCUGCCCCAAAGAGAGGGAUAACAGUUCGAAAGGACUGCUAAUACCUCAUGUGGUUGCAAGGGUUAGAGACCUUGCAACUAAAGGAGCAAUCCGCUUUGGGAGGGGCCUGCGUCCCAUCAGCUAGUUGGUAGGGUAAUGGCCUACCAAGGCUACGACGGGUAGGGGGCCUGAGAGGGUGGCCCCCCACACUGGCACUGAAACACGGGCCAGACACCUACGGGUGGCAGCAGUAGGGAAUAUUGGGCAAUGGGCGAAAGCCUGACCCAGCAACGCCGCGUGCACGAUGAAGGCCUUCGGGUUGUAAAGUGCUUUUCGGGGAGAUGAGGAAGGACAGUAUCCCCGGAAUAAGGAUCGGCUAACUACGUGCCAGCAGCCGCAGUAACAC